UACGUAGGGGGCAAGCGUUGUUCGGAAUUACUGGGCGUAAAGGGCUCGUAGGUGGCCAACUAAGUCAGACGUGAAAUCCCGCGGCUUAACCGGGGAACUGCGUCUGAUACUGGAUGGCUUGAGUUUGGGAGAGGGACGCGGAAUUCCAGGUGUAGCGGUGAAAUGCGUAGAUAUCUGGAGGAACACCGGUGGCGAAGGCGGCGUCCUGGACCAACACUGACACUGAGGAGCGAAAGCCAGGGGAGCGAACAGG
rnacentral:rRNA from 1 species